rnacentral:rRNA from 1 species
GCUGACCGAACAAUCAACCGCAAAUAUACUAUACCGAACAAACAAAUCAUUUGCCCAACCCAGUAGUUGCGAUCGAACAGUUAUAAGUCAUAAUAGAGUACCGCAAGGGAACCAACACAAGCAAUAAACAGCAAAGACUAGCCCUUGUACCUUUUGCAUUAUGGUUUAGCAAGAACACAAGGACAAGAAGAAUCACAGCCCACCACCCCGAAACCGAAUGAGCUAUUUUCAAGCAGUCUAACGGACGCACCCUUCUAUGUAGCAAAAUAGUGGGAAGACUUUAAAAUAGAGGUGAAACGCCUAUCGAAUCCGGAGAUAGCUGGCUACCCCAAAAAGAAUCUAAGUUCUACUUUAGAUAAGCACUUAAACAGUUAACCGUCUAAAGACAGUCAACAGAGGUACAGCUCUGUUGACCCAGGAUACAACCUGAAUUUGCAAGAAACNNNAGUUCUACACCCAAACCCGUAGGCCNNNNNNNNNNNNNNNNNNNNNNNNNNNNNNNNNNNNNNNNNNNNNNNNNNNNNNNNNNNNCCAAAAACUUCAAAUCAACUAAAGGUGGACCUACACUAGUAAGUAUCAUUAUGCUAAAACUAAUAAUAAGACGCCAUCUCUUAACGCACCCCUCCACUAGAAACAGAAAAACUACUAGUUAUUAACAGACCACAAAAGGAAAACAAUAAACCCAUACAUACCUUAAAACCAACUGUGACCCCAACACAGGAGCGUUAAAAAGAAAGAUUAACUGUUAUAAAAGGAACUCGGCAACCAAGGACUCCAACUGUUUAACAAAAACAUAACCUUUAGCCAAACAAGUAUUAAAGGCAACGCCUGCCCAGUGAAAAUUAAACGGCCGCGGUACCCUAACCGUGCAAAGGUAGCAUAAUCAUUUGUCUAUUAAUUGUAGACCUGUAUGAAAGGCAAAAUGAGAGCCCAACUGUCUCCUAUAACAAAUCAAUUAAACUGAUCUCCUAGUACAAAAGCUAGAAUACCAACAUAAGACCAGAAGACCCUGUGAAGCUUUAACUAACCUAUUAAGCCUAAUAAUAGCUACUUUCGGUUGGGGCGACCUUGGAAUAAAAAAGAACUUCCAACACUAUGACUUACCAUAAAACAAGGCAAACAGGCCAACAUUAGACCCAGUAUCACUGACAAUUGAAAUAAGUUACUCCAGGGAUAACAGCGCUAUCUUCUUUAAGAGCCCAUAUCAAAAAGAAGGUUUACGACCUCGAUGUUGGAUCAGGACANNACCCUAAGCGGGACACAUCUGGUACUGAGAUGCCUCAUCUUAAUAGCCCUACGUGAUCUGAGUUCAGACCGGAGCAAUCCAGGUCAGUUUCUAUCUAUGAACGCCCUACCUAGUACGAAAGGACCGGUACAGCAAAGCCAAUGCAACAUG